GACAGAGGGUGCAACCGUUGUUCGGAAUUACUGGGCGUAAAGCGUGUGUAGGCGGCCAAGCAAGUCGGAUGUGAAAGCCCAGGGCUCAACCCUGGAAGUGCACUCGAUACUGCCUGGCUUGAGUAUCGGAGAGGUUGGUGGAAUUCUCGGUGUAGAGGUGAAAUUCGUAGAUAUCGAGAGGAACACCGGUGGCGAAGGCGACCAACUGGACGAAUACUGACGCUGAGACACGAAAGCGUGGGGAGCAAACAGG
rnacentral:rRNA from 1 species